rnacentral:rRNA from 1 species
CCCGUGCAGGAAAUUAAGGCAUUAUUUUGUGUCGUAAACUGCUUUUGUGACUGAGGAAGGCCGCUCACGAGUUGGGUUGGCUUGACGUUAGGUCAAGAAUAAGAAUCGGCUAACUCCGUGCCAGCAGCCGCGGUAAUACGGGGGAUUCAAGCGUUAUCCGGAAUCAUUGGGUUUAAAGAGUCUGUAGGUGGUUUGUUAAGUCAGAGGUGAAAAUUUGCGGCUCAACCGUAAAACUGCCUUCGAUACUAGCAAACUUGAGUGUAAGAGCAGAAAGAGGAAUACGUUGUGUAGGGGUGAUAUCCGUAGAUAUAACGUGGAACACCGAUUGCGAAGGCAUCUUUCUAUCUUAAUAACUGACACUGAGAGACGAAGGCGUGGGUAGCAAACAGGAUUAGAUACCCUGGUAGUCCACGCAGUAAACGAUGAUCACUAGGUGAUGGGGUUUUUUGCCUCUUUGCCAAAGCGAAAGUGUUAAGUGAUCCACCUGGGGAGUACGUUCGCAAGUAUGAAACUCAAAGGAAUUGACGG